rnacentral:rRNA from 1 species
AACGGGUGAGUAACGCGUAGGUAACCUGCCUAUUAGAGGGGAGUAACUAUUGUAACGAUAGCUAAUACCGCCAUAACAGUAUGUAACACAUGUUAGUAUGCUUGUAAGAAUGCAAUUAGUCAUCGCUAGUAGAUGGACCGUCGCGUUGUAUUAGUCUAGUAGGUAGGGUAAGUAGGCCGUACCUAGGCAACGAUACAUAGCCGACCUCGAGAGGUGAUCGGCCGACACUGGGACUGAGACACGGCCCACGACUCCUACGGGAGGCAGCAGUAGGGAAUCUUCGGUCAAUGGGGGGAACCCUGGACCGAGCAACGCCG